rnacentral:lncRNA from 1 species
GCUAGACACCUGCAGUGCCAGAGAACGGACAUUGGGGAUGAGUGACUCCAUAAUGGAUGGAUAAUAAAGGCACCAUGGCAACUGGGUUUUCGCUGGAUAAAUAGUGAAGAGGGACAUUUAACUCAAGAAAGGCGUACAAGGCCAUCCCAGAUAAUAUAGAUAUUCAUCCAUGAAAGAAGAAUGUUAUACUGUUGACGUAGAACAUGGGGAAAGUUCCUUACGACCUUUGCACAAGUAAAGUUUUCUUAAGCAAGACAGAAAUUUAAUGUUCAACUAAACGAAGUCAUCUGAUAGAAUGGAAACUGUUCACUGAGAUACACAAUCAGGAAGGUGAAAUAAGAAUCUCGAAGCUGGCUAAAACCUAGAAACUACCCAUUCUUUUCAUCAGGAGCAGAAUGGAUGGAUUGUGACAUAUUUUGAGUAUGAAAAAAUAGAAAUUGCCUAAAUAAAUGGUCACCAGCAAUCAUCUAUGGAAGGACUAGGGAACCACAGAGCAGGAGGCUAUGUGCACAUCAAGUGAUGGACAAAGAAGACGGUGCACAGCCUAGCACAGGAGCCUGAGGCAGAAGGACCAGCCUGGAAGCAAGACCAAGAAUUGAGGGAGGAGAAAGAACAUGAAGUUAGAAGUUUAUAUAUACAGCUUCCUGGAACUCUCUCUGUAGACCAGGCUGGCCUUGAACUCACAAGAUCUACCUGCCUCUGGCUCCGUCUCUGCUGGGGUUCAAGGCUUACACCAUCUUGCCUAGCCUAAAAGGUUUAAUUCUUAGAAGUAAGGCAGAACGGUGGAGUGAGACGUUGGAGAGAUGCCAGUGACUUAGAAUUCGCCCAGGGAUCUAGUCCAGGGCAUGGUGACAGCAAUGGUGCUUAGAAUCAUGAAGUACAGUCUUCUCACACGGAGAAGCAGCCACAGGAAGUACCUGAACACCUUCUGAGGACAUGUCCCUGACUGAGGAUGUGUCUGUCACUAAGCCUCGAGUCUUCAAAAUUCCAUCACUGUCCUGUAUGGCUACCCACAGGGCCAAGUCCCAAAAGAUGAGGUUUUGAAAGAACAAAAGCAACUCAAAUCACAGCAGAGGCCACACAUGGUAUAGCAACAUUCAAACAAACAAAAUUCUACUUCUUUUCUGUUUCUACUACCCAGUCUGUAUGUGGCAGCUUUCGGCAAACAGUCAACAACUUAUAAAUAAAAUACAUGCCUGUA